rnacentral:tRNA from 1 species
GCCGAAGUGGCGGAACUGGCAGACGCGCACGACUCAAAAUCGUGUGGGCUUACGCUCUUGUGGGUUCGACUCCCUCCUUCGGCA